UAAUACAGAGGGUGCAAGCGUUAAUCGGAAUCACUGGGCGUAAAGGGUGCGUAGGUGGUUGAAUAAGUCAGAUGUGAAAUCCCUGGGCUUAACCUAGGAAUUGCAUUUGGUACUGUUCAGCUAGAGUGCAGUAGAGGAAAGUGGAAUUUCCGGUGUAGCGGUGAAAUGCGUAGAUAUCGGAAGGAACAUCAGUGGCGAAGGCGACUUUCUGGACUGUAACUGACACUGAGGCACGAAAGCGUGGGGAGCGAACAGGAUUAGAUACCCUGGUAGUCCACGCCGUAAACUAUGAGAACUGGAUGUUUGGGGGCUUGUCUCCUAAGUAUCGAAGCUAACGCGUUAAGUUCUCCGCCUGGGGAGUACGGCCGCAAGGUUA
rnacentral:rRNA from 1 species